rnacentral:rRNA from 1 species
AUUGAACGCUGGCGGCAUGCCUUACACAUGCAAGUCGGACGAGUGGCGAACGGGUGAGUAAUAUAUCGGAACGUACCGAGUAAUGGGGGAUAACUAAUCGAAACAUUAGCUAAUACCGCAUACUAUUCGAGCGGCCGAUAUCUGAUUAGCUAGUUGGGGGGGUAAAGGCCUACCAAGGCGACGAUCAGUAGCGGGUCUGAGAGGAUGAUCAGCCACACUGGAACUGAGACACGGCCCAGACUCCUACGGGAGGCAGCAGUGGGGAAUAUUGGACAAUGGGCGCAAGCCUGAUGCAGCCAUGCCGCGUGUCUGAAGAAGGCCUUCGGGUUGUAAAGGACUUUUAUCAGGGAAGCGGUACCUGAAGAAUAAGCACCGGCUAACUACGUGCCAGCAGCCGCGGUAAUAC